rnacentral:rRNA from 1 species
UACGAGGGGUCCUAGCGUUGUUCGGAAUCAUUGGGCGUAAAGAGCUCGUAGGUGGCUUAGUAAGUCAGGUGUGAAAGCCCAGGGCUCAACCCUGGAAGUGCACUUGAAACUGCAUAGCUUGAGUACGGUAGAGGUGAGUGGAAUUCCUGGUGUAGUGGUAAAAUACGUAGAUAUCAGGAGGAACAUCGGUGGCGAAGGCGGCUCACUGGACCAGUACUGACACUGAGGAGCGAAAGCAUGGGGAUCAAACAGG